UACGUAGGGGGCAAGCGUUGUCCGGAAUCAUUGGGCGUAAGGAGCGUGUAGGCGGCCCGGUAAGUCCGCUGUGAAAGUCCAGGGCUCAACCCUGGGAUGCCGGUGGAUACUGUCGGGCUAGAGUCCGGAAGAGGCGAGUGGAAUUCCUGGUGUAGCGGUGGAAUGCGCAGAUAUCAGGAGGAACACCAAUAGCGAAGGCAGCUCGCUGGGACGGUACUGACGCUCAGGUGCGAAAGCUAGGGGAGCGAACAGG
rnacentral:rRNA from 1 species